GGAUCAUUAGCUCAAAUGGUAGAGCACUAGAGAAUAACAUACUAGUACAUCUCAAGAGGUGGUGGUUCAAGUCCAUCAUGAUCCU
rnacentral:tRNA from 1 species